GUUAUAGGGUCAAGCGAACAAGUGCAUGUGGUGGAUGCCUUGGCGAUCACAGGCGAUGAAGGACGCGGUAGCCUGCGAAAAGCUACGGGGAGCUGGCAAACGAGCUUUGAUCCGUAGAUGUCCGAAUGGGGAAACCCGGCCCUUUUGGGUCAUCCUAGACUGAAUACAUAGGUCUAGUGAGGCGAACGCGGUGAACUGAAACAUCUAAGUAACCGCAGGAAAAGAAAUCAACCGAGAUUCCCAAAGUAGUGGCGAGCGAAAUGGGAAGAGCCUGUACUCUUUAUUUGUAUUGUUAGCCGAACGCUCUGGAAAGUGCGGCCAUAGCAGGUGAUAGCCCUGUAGGCGAAAACAGUAUGAAAGAACUAGGUGUACGACAAGUAGGGCGGGACACGUGAAAUCCUGUCUGAAGAUGGGGGGACCAUCCUCCAAGGCUAAAUACUCGUGAUCGACCGAUAGUGAACCAGUACCGUGAGGGAAAGGCGAAAAGAACCCCGGGAGGGGAGUGAAAUAGAUCCUGAAACCGCAUGCAUACAAACAGUCGGAGCCUCUUCGGGGGUGACGGCGUACCUUUUGUAUAAUGGGUCAGCGACUUACGUUCAGUAGCAAGCUUAACCGAAUAGGGCAGGCGUAGCGAAAGCGAGUCCGAAUAGGGCGUUCAGUUGCUGGGCGUAGACCCGAAACCAGGUGAUCUAUCCAUGGCCAGGAUGAAGGUGCGGUAACACGUACUGGAGGUCCGAACCCACUAACGUUGAAAAGUUAGGGGAUGAGCUGUGGAUAGGGGUGAAAGGCUAAACAAACCUGGAAAUAGCUGGUUCUCUCCGAAAACUAUUUAGGUAGUGCCUCGUGUCUCACCUUCGGGGGUAGAGCACUGUCAUGGUUGGGGGGUCUAUUGCAGAUUACCCCGCCAUAGCAAACUCCGAAUACCGAAGAGUGCAAUCACGGGAGACAGACAUCGGGUGCUAACGUCCGGUGUCAAGAGGGAAACAACCCAGACCGCCAGCUAAGGUCCCCAAAUAUGGCUAAGUGGGAAACGAAGUGGGAAGGCUAAAACAGUCAGGAGGUUGGCUUAGAAGCAGCCACCCUUUAAAGAAAGCGUAAUAGCUCACUGAUCGAGUCGUCCUGCGCGGAAGAUGUAACGGGGCUAAGCCAUAUACCGAAGCUGCGGAUGCGAGCUAGUCUCGCAUGGUAGGAGAGCGUUCCGUAAGCCUGCGAAGGUGCGUUGAAAAGCGUGCUGGAGGUAUCGGAAGUGCGAAUGCUGACAUGAGUAGCGAUAAAGGGGGUGAAAGGCCCCCUCGCCGUAAGCCCAAGGUUUCCUACGCAACGUUCAUCGGCGUAGGGUGAGUCGGCCCCUAAGGCGAGGCAGAAAUGCGUAGCUGAUGGGAAGCAGGUCAAUAUUCCUGCACCAUUGUUAGAUGCGAUGGGGGGACGGAUCGCGGAAGGUUGUCCGGGUGUUGGAAGUCCCGGUCGCUGCAUUGGAGAAGGCGCUUAGGCAAAUCCGGGCGCAGGAUUCAAGGGUGUGGCGCGAGCUCCUUCGGGAGCGAAGCAAUUGGAAGUGGUUCCAAGAAAAGCCUCUAAGCUUCAGUCUAACGAUGACCGUACCNNNNNNNNNNNNNNNNNNNNNNNNNNNNNNNNNNNNNNNNNNNNNNNNNNNNNNNNNNNNNNNNNNNNNNNNNNNNNNNNNNNNNNNNNNNNNNNNNNUGCAAACCGACACAGGUGGGCGAGAUGAGUAUUCUAAGGCGCUUGAGAGAACUCGGGAGAAGGAACUCGGCAAAUUGGUACCGUAACUUCGGGAUAAGGUACGCCCUGGUAGCUUGACUGGCCUGCGCCAGAAGGGUGAAGGGGUUGCAAUAAACUGGUGGCUGCGACUGUUUAAUAAAAACACAGCACUCUGCAAACACGAAAGUGGACGUAUAGGGUGUGACGCCUGCCCGGUGCCGGAAGAUUAAAUGAUGGGGUGCAAGCUCUUGAUUGAAGUCCCGGUAAACGGCGGCCGUAACUAUAACGGUCCUAAGGUAGCGAAAUUCCUUGUCGGGUAAGUUCCGACCUGCACGAAUGGCGUAACGAUGGCCACACUGUCUCCUCCCGAGACUCAGCGAAGUUGAAGUGUUUGUGAUGAUGCAAUCUACCCGCGGCUAGACGGAAAGACCCCAUGAACCUUUACUGUAGCUUUGCAUUGGACUUUGAACCGAUCUGUGUAGGAUAGGUGGGAGGCUAUGAAACCGGAACGCUAGUUUCGGUGGAGCCGUCCUUGAAAUACCACCCUGGUUUGUUUGAGGUUCUAACCUUGGCCCGUGAUCCGGGUCGGGGACAGUGCAUGGUAGGCAGUUUGACUGGGGCGGUCUCCUCCCAAAGCGUAACGGAGGAGUACGAAGGUACGCUAGGUACGGUCGGAAAUCGUGCUGAUAGUGCAAUGGCAUAAGCGUGCUUAACUGCGAGACCGACAAGUCGAGCAGGUGCGAAAGCAGGUCAUAGUGAUCCGGUGGUUCUGUAUGGAAGGGCCAUCGCUCAACGGAUAAAAGGUACUCUGGGGAUAACAGGCUGAUACCGCCCAAGAGUUCAUAUCGACGGCGGUGUUUGGCACCUCGAUGUCGGCUCAUCUCAUCCUGGGGCUGUAGCCGGUCCCAAGGGUAUGGCUGUUCGCCAUUUAAAGAGGUACGUGAGCUGGGUUUAAAACGUCGUGAGACAGUUUGGUCCCUAUCUGCCGUGGGCGUUGGAAGUUUGAAGGGGGCUGCUCCUAGUACGAGAGGACCGGAGUGGACGAACCUCUGGUGUACCGGUUGUGACGCCAGUCGCAUCGCCGGGUAGCUAUGUUCGGAAGAGAUAACCGCUGAAAGCAUCUAAGCGGGAAACUCGCCUUAAGAUGAGACUUCCCCGGGGACUUGAUCCCCUUGAAGGGUCGUUCGAGACCAGGACGUUGAUAGGUCGGGUGUGUAAGCGCAGUAAUGCGUUCAGCUAACCGAUACUAAUUGCCCGUACGGCUUGAUCCUAUAACA
rnacentral:rRNA from 1 species